AGUGAACGCUGGCGGUAGGCCUAACACAUGCAAGUCGAACGGCAGCACAGGAGAGCUUGCUCUCUGGGUGGCGAGUGGCGGACGGGUGAGGAAUACAUCGGAAUCUACUCUGUCGUGGGGGAUAACGUAGGGAAACUUACGCUAAUACCGCAUACGACCUACGGGUGAAAGCAGGGGACCUUCGGGCCUUGCGCGAUUGAAUGAGCCGAUGUCGGAUUAGCUAGUUGGCGGGGUAAAGGCCCACCAAGGCGACGAUCCGUAGGUGGUCGGAGAGGGUGAUCAGCAACACUGGAACUGAGACACGGUCCAGACUCCUACGGGAGGCAGCAGUGGGGAAUAUUGGACAAUGGACGCAAGCCUGAUCCAGCCAUACCGCGUGGGUGAAGAAGGCCUUCGGGUUGUAAAGCCCUUUUGUUGGGAAAGAAAUCCAGCUGGCUAAUACCCGGUUGGGAUGACGGUACCCAAAGAAUAAGCACCGGCUAACUUCGUGCCAGCCGCCGCCGUAA
rnacentral:rRNA from 1 species